rnacentral:rRNA from 1 species
GGAUAUGACGCUGAUGAGGCUUCGGCGGAUUCUGUAUAUCUAGUGGCGGACGGGUGAGUAACGCGUGGGCAACCUGCCUCAUACUGGGGGAUAGCAGUUGGAAACGACUGAUAAUACCGCAUAAGCGCACAGUAUCGCAUGAUACAGUGUGAAAAACUCCGGUGGUAUGAGAUGGGCCCGCGUCAGAUUAGCCAGUUGGCAGGGUAACGGCCUACCAAAGCGACGAUCUGUAGCCGGCCUGAGAGGGCGGACGGCCACAUUGGGACUGAGACACGGCCCAAACUCCUACGGGAGGCAGCAGUGGGGGAUAUUGCACAAUGGGGGAAACCCUGAUGCAGCGACGCCGCCGUGAGUGAAGAAGUAUUUCGGUAUGUAAAGCUCUAUCAGCAGGGAAGAAAGGCCCUUCGGGGAGAUGACGGUACCUGACUAAGAAGCCCCGGCUAACUACGUGCCAGCCGCUGC